rnacentral:rRNA from 1 species
AUUACUAAGCGGAGGAAAAGAAAAUAACGAUGAUUCCCCCAGUAACGGCGAGUGAAGUGGGAAGAGCCUAGCACUGAAUCCCUUGCCGAUGCGGCAACGGGAGCUGUAGUGUUUGGGACGGCCUCUGUGCGGUGCGCGGCGAUUCGAAGUUCGCUUGAAGGCGGCUUACUGGGCUUCGUUCGAGGCCUUGCCAGAGAGGGUGUCAGACCCGUGUGGAACGUCGCGUCCUCGCGCUUUGGUCUCGUCUCCAGAGUCGGGCUGUUUGGGAAUGCAGCCCAAAUGGGGUGGUAAACUCCAUCCAAGGCUAAAUACGCUCGCGAGUCCGAUAGCGGACCAAGUACCGCGAGGGAAAGUUGAAAAGAACUUUGAAGAGAGAGUUCAAGAGUACGUGAAACCGCUGCGAGGUAAACGGAUGGGAUCGCAAUUGCUCGCGGUGAGAUUCAGCUUUCGUUCGGUCGGCGACGUCCGGCUGUCGUCUGCUUGUCGGUGCGUUCUCUCGGGGGCGUAUCGCAGGUGGACGCAGUCGGCGGAGGCGGUCGUUUCGAGGGUGCACUUCUCCCGCGAGAACGCCACGACCGGUUCUCGGCCUGUCGCAAGGCGAUCGGCAAGGUGUUCUGGAACUCACCCUCCUGUGGGGGUGCCCGGAAACUAACAUGGCUCGGUCGCUGUUUUGACCAGGCCGAUGGACCGAGGCUCGCUGACGGUCGUCGGAGGGCCGUGGCGGCUCGCUGGUCGAGCGCGUUGUCGUUGUGUAUCGUCGUGGACUGUCCUCAGUGCCCGGCGACCGCGGCUCGUGCGAGUGACUGCGGGCCGUGCGGCGCUCGCCUCCCUCCUCGUCGGGGGAGACGGCGGCCGUCCUAUUGGUUGGUCGGUGGCUGUUUGGCAGACAACCCAUCCGACCCGUCUUGAAACACGGACCAAGGAGUCUAACAUGUGCGCGAGUCAUUGUACUCGACUAGAUACACAGGCGCAAUGAAGGUGAACGCAGGUCUGACGGAGGGAGUCGUCCUUUCGGCAAGACCGGCCCGUCCCAUAUCGCUUGCGUCGAUGUGGAUGGAGCAUGAGCGCAAAUGUUGGUACCCGAAAGAUGGUGAACUAUGCCCGAGUAGGACGAAGCCAGAGGAAACUCUGGUGGAAGUCCGUAGCGAUUC